UCAAUAUGAUCAAUGCAUCAUGUAUUCUAUAGUUAAAACAUCGAUGCUUUUGAAUUUGAAUAUAUAACAAAGCAUGCAAACAAACUGCCGCUUUUAUCAUGUUCGUUUUGUGAUCGCACAUGUUCCAGUGACUUAUUUCUUAGUUUUCUGAUAACUUCUCUUUGUUGGUGAAAUUUUGAGGUUGCAUGACGUUGUUCUGAGAGGCGUGUAAAGGGCGUGUUUUAGUGACGUGCAGCGGAGCUUCAAGCUCCACUGUGGAAACCCUGCGCUAUUCUGGCCUCGUGCUACUGGCCCGGGGCUAUGAGCCCCGCCCGGCCCGCUUUAGGCCCUGGCUCGCACUGGCCCGAUAGUGGAAAUGCGGCUAUCGAGCGCGCGCUGAACCUUGGAGUAGCGUUCCUUCAGAUUCAAACACUGGAGCGGAGGGAGUUGCCAUGGAAACGGGGCAAUCAACAACAACACUGUCAAGCUGCAGCUCUGUUUCUCGCUGCUGUGUUAACUGCUUUCGAAAUGGUUUAGUGUUUUCGAACAAGUCCGUGAGGAUCCUUAUCAGAGAAGAUUCUUCUAGUGUUUGAUGGCCUUCUGCAUCCCAGAGUCUGAGCAAGCCUCCUGUCCAACAACAUCUCCCAGGCACACGGAACCAUAUGACUAGCAGUGAAAAAUACAUUGUGGACCAAGGAGGAAACUGACAACAGAGACAGAAGAAGACAGAGAAGGUCA